UACAGAGGUGGCAAGCGUUGUUCGGAAUUACUGGGCGUAAAGGGCGCGUAGGCGGCCUUCUAAGUCAGACGUGAAAUCCCCCGGCUUAACCUGGGAACUGCGUCCGAUACUGGCAGGCUGGAAUCCGGGAGAGGGAUGUGGAAUUCCUGGUGUAGCGGUGAAAUGCGCAGAUAUCAGGAGGAACACCGGUGGCGAAGGCGGGUCUCUGGGCCGAUACUGACGCUGAGGAGCGAAAGCGUGGGGAGCGAACAGG
rnacentral:rRNA from 1 species